rfam:Bacteroides oleiciplenus YIT 12058 genomic scaffold supercont1.6, whole genome shotgun sequence.
GUUGUGAUUUGCUUUCAUUUUAGUAUCUUUGAGCCAUUAGAAGCAAC